GUCACCGAUCAAGUCAAAAGAGAGACAUAUACUCCAUUUUCUCUGGAUUUGACUUGCGGGGGGGUCUUUACAUGAAAGACUGCACGUUGAGCUGCAAAUGGGCCCAGCUUCUGGAAAGGGGGCCCUCACACGUAGGCCCUAGAGAAGUGGGGUUGUUAGCAGCAGAAGGGGAAAAGCAACUCUGGAGAUUUGAUCACAAACAAGUAACACCCUCUUUUCCUUCCUUCAGGCUCUUCCGGUCCCUCUGCUGCCUGAGGCCAGGGAAGCAAGAGGUACCUAACAGGACAGCCACACCUUGGGAAGCCGAGAAUUUGGUGACUAAGAACCAGAUACAGUGAGACCAGUGGAAUUGCCAGAGUUGUGCCCAGAGAGCUCACUGUGAACUGGAUCCGCUUCAUGGAAUACUGGGGAGGUAGGUUGGGGGCAGAACUGGGGGGAAGCAUGAAGAAAAUCGAGGUACGUAACUGUGGUCUAGAGGAAGAAGGGAAAUACUGUCACUUUGGAUUCUUUAGUGAAUCAAAAAUCUCCUUUUGCUUCAUUUCUUGUAUUCAAAAAUGUUUCAAAUAUACUGUGAACUAUUCACCUUAGGAAAUAUCAGAAAUUAAAAAAAGUAACACGGAUGAUUCUUAGCAAUAAAAUAUUCAGCAGUUUUUCGUAUGGGAAAUUUUAAACAUAUAGAAACAGAAAGAAUACUGUGAUUUCCUCCAGGUACCUACUACUUAGCUUUCUUCUUAGUCAAUCUUGCUUCCUCUGUAUGUCUUAGCCCCUUUCCCCUCCCUUAUUAUUUUGAAGAAAAGCUCAGACAUCAUAGAAUACCAUUUUUAUAAUGUUAAAAAUAACUAAAAUUUUAAAAAAGCCUUUUCAUGAAUAUAUAGAUGCAGUAAGACCAUAUAAAAAGAAAUUCAAGGCAAGGAAAAGCACGGCACAUGGGGUGGUGGUUACUGCAUGCGGGCGGGGCUGGGUUACAAGUAGAUUAGUAUCUGCGAUUUUGUUUUCAUCAGCCAGUUCUGGGUACUUACUUGUUACCUUGUCAAAAAUAUAAGGAGACGGCGCAAAGACCAAUAUGAGAAGGUACAUGAACCCAGGAUUCACAUUCAUCCACUGCUGUGCACAGAAGCCCCGUUGGUCCCCUUUUCUGCCUGAGCCAAUGGAGUCAUCGUCGUCUUCCUUUUCAGAGGAUUACUUAGGAGUCCUAGUGUGUUUGAAACCAGAAGGAACCUUCGAAACCAUCACCUGAUGGAUGAGAUAGCUGGUGCACAGAGAAUACCUACUGUGAAAUGUGGAACAAAGUCAAGCUGUAUUAGAUAUCUGAUACAUCUCAGCAAAUAAAGAGGAUAAAAGAAGAAGCCAGAUCUUGAAGUCAUCUCGCAGGUUCUGCUUUCUCCCUCUGGGAAACCAGCCACAAUGUGUGAGGUCCAACUACCUGAGACGGAACUGUGGGGAAGUCUAGGUUAGCGCAUGGACAGAGAGAUGCCAUAUGGAGAGGCACCAAAAUACCAGACGUAAGUGAAGUCCUUUGGAAGUCUGCCAGCCACUUAUUGAAUGUAGCUGAGUGACUCCACUGACACCACGGAGAGCAGAAGAUCCCAGCCCUUCCCUGAAUUCCAUGCCCACACAACUGAAAAAAAGGCCACGAGAAUGUCCUUUUUGGUCAACUCCCCAUGCAGAUGGAACAACUGUGAGCGUAUUCUGGCCCCAGCUUUGUGCUCCUGCUCAGAACUUCUUCGAGCUCCAUCUUCAGCGACCUGACUUGCUUCAUUUCAUCCGUCUGUCACCUCCUCCCAAAAUAAGCGUCUGUGGUUUCUCUCUGACUUGUUUGCGUUAUACAUGUCCUUAUUAGUCAUGUGUGGGUGUCCCUACACCUCAUUAUCUCCUGAACUUCUCAGGGACCCAGUAGGCAGCUCAUUGUCUGCAUUGUCCCAAAGCAUCACACACAGGGAUACCACAUUUAAAAGCAGUGACUGCUUGAGAAGCAUCUGACCUGUCAAAAGGCUUGAUGGACACCCCCUCCUCCUGGUUCUGCCAGGGUCUCCAAAGGUGAAUUCAUCAUCUUUCGUCCAUCAACCUGCUCGCUUUUCUGAAUUCUUUGAGGCGUGGUUGCUUCUAUGUUUUUUGUUUGUUUCAAAAGAAACAAAAAAACCUUUAAAAAAAUUUUUUUUAAUGUUUUACUUAUUUUUGAAAAAGGGAGACAGAGUACAAGCAGAGAAGGGGUAGACAGAGAGGGAGACACAGAAUCCAAAGCAGGCUCCAGUUUCUAAGCUGUCAACACAGAGCCCGACACGGGGCUCAAACUCAGAAACUGUGAGAUCAUGACCUGAGCUGAAGUCGGAUGCUUAACUGACUGAGCCACUCAGGGACCCCAGAGACUGCUUUUCUUAAUAGCACCAAAUCUUCUCCCACUCUUAAGAUUUGAACAUUACUGUGACCUUUGACUUGGCUGUCUUCAUGCUUGCCCCCGCCCUAGUCAAAAAUGUAGGCACUAACUAUCAUCACCCAGUACCUGCUGGCCCCCAGGACUUUAUAUGCCAGCUUCCAUCUAUUGGAAUUGGAGCAGAGUUUUGAGACAUGUUGAUGCUUUGUCUGGGAUCAGCAGAGGAGAAUACAGUAUUUUAAUCAGUUAAAGUUCUCUGUUGUGAGUAUAGCUGAGAGGAUCCACGGCCCAAGUGCUGAGACUCUGUCAUCUGUGGCGAAGACCAGCCUUUUCCCCCCCGACUCCUCAUCCAGUGCAUCCUACACUCUGACCCAAAGUUGACUCUUUUAAUUAGCACUGUGGCAUCUUGCUAAAAAAUGAUAUCCCAUUGCCCACGCCAUCUGCCAAGCUUUCCCAGCCACUCACAGGAGUCUCCACUGCCUACCACAUACAGGCUCAUUCAUGCCCAGGAGCUGAGCUGGUCUAGAUUAAGACAGGAAAUGUAUCAGCUGCCUCAGCCCCUCCAGAUAUGGGGCCUAGAGUUAAUCGUGGCUGCCCACAAACCUGGUAUCUGGUCCACCUCGCAUAGGCCCUGGAUGCCAACUUAGCCUCCAGGUCACAACACUUUUUUAUCUUUUUUUCUACUUCCCCUUUCCCCACACCCUCAGACAUACUGGCCUCUGGAUGGUUCUGAGCCUCUGUCACAGGUUAACCUGGCUGUUCUCAACAGCUUGUUUUGAACAUAGCCUGCUUAUUUCGGCUCCCAGGAAUUUAAGACUUGCCAGGUUUCCUACUCCCAACCAGGCUGGCUUUUGGCCGUAGGUGAGCAGAUUGUCCAGAAUUUUGUGGUGGAUUAUGGGAAUCUUCUACUACUGGGUCAAACCCAUCCAACUACCCCCUUCCUACUAUUAGCCCAGCUCGGUCCUUGGAUGAGACUGCCAUAGGAGUCUCACCUGCAUAGGAGUACUUGGCCCAAACAAGCCAACAAAUUCCCUACUCCCUGGUUUAGUGCUUUCCUUUUGCCAGCAGUCCCAGCGAGUCCCAUGCUUGACCAGAAGAAUUAUAAUGAUAUCAUUUAUUGAGCACCUGCUAAUAAGUUCUUUGUACACAUUACCUCACUCCACCUUCAUAAGGACCCUAUGAAACAGGUACUGUUGGGGCACCUGGAUGCUUCAGUCAGUUAAACAUCCAACUUCUGCUCAGGUCAUGAUCUCAUGGUUCAUGGGUUCGAGCCCCACAUCAGGCUCUCUACUAACGGUGUAGAGACUGCUGGGGGUUCUCUCUCUCCCCCUCUCUCAGCCCCUCCCCCUCUCAUACUUUUUCUCUCUCUCAAAAAUAAAUUAAAAAAAAUAAAUUUAUGCUUUUUCCCUUUACUACAGAUUGCAAACUAGUAGCUCAUGGUAAAAUGUUGACCAUGGUUAUAUUUGGUUACCACAGCUUUUUGGUUGCUUGUUUACUUAGGGCCAAUGCUUUAAAAGGAGAUGUCACAUAAAAAUUCAGAUGUAUGACUUCUCCUUACAAAAUUGGAAGGCCUAGAAACCUAGGUUCCAUGUCCUAUAAGGCAAAGUCAAAUACAGCUGAAAGAAGUCUGUCCUUCACAUGGAGUGGGAGCUCAUCAGUUUGCCUCUGACUCUGCCUUAUGGCAGUGCCAUUCAGACGUUAGUAUCCAUCAGAACCAUCUGGAGAUUGCUGGGCCCUACCCCAGCAUUUGUGAUUCGGUAAGUGGGGGUUGGGCCCAAGAACUUGUCUUAUUACAACCCAGGUGUUGAUUGCCACUUCUCAUCUCAUUGGUACUGUUGCUAUUUUUAUAUUCCAGCCUACCCACCGGCUUCUUUUAGCUCAGUGCUCCCUAUGGGCAUUUGAGUUUGUAUCCGAGGGGCUUUGUUGCACCAACAGUAAGGAAUCAGGGCCCUCUCCUCUGUUCCUAAACUCGCACUAAUCUCCAACAUGAAUCUUAAACCUCAUCUGGACUAUUACUGUUCAACUUUUUCUUUCAACUCUUAUAAAAACAGCACAACUUCUUUCUUUAAUUUCACAAAGGCAGUAGAAGAUUUAAUAAAUAGCACCCAAACACACGUGUUGCACUACCUUCUUCCCCUGAGCUGGAAGGGACAAGCAUAAAAAAGACAUCUUACGUAUAUGAAAGAUAAGAGCUUCUGCAAACAUAAUCCUUUGACAGCUAAGAUUUAAAAGCUGUAGGAUCCACACAGAAGCAACCACUCCAUCUAUUCUGUUCUUCCGGGAGAACCUGGUUGAUGGCCCCAGCAAGCUCUCUUCCCUGGUUAUACAAAGUCUACUCCAGAAAAAAUCUGUUCAUACGUUUAUGCAGGAAACAGAGCUCGUCAGUUCAAAAAAUGCUCAGGAGGUUUUCGCUGUGCCCGGAAUGCCCUAAUUAUAAUCUUCAAGACCUAUCUUGGAUGUCACUUAGUCCAAAUGCCCUUCCUGAUUAGCCUAGACUGAAAGAAUCCCUUCUAUCAUGCCCAUUUCCAUGACACUCAGCCCAUACUUCCCUGAAAUAUAAAAUAACUCUGUUGUCACAUAUCUCAGUUAUGAGAUUAUAAACUCUUUCAGAGCGUAAGAUGAGACCAUGGGACUUUGCAGCCUGAAUUAUGCCUGGUAUGGUACUUUGCCUUUAGGUGACGCUAAGGUCAGACUUCUGAACAUUUAGAUGAAUAGAGGGACUGAAACACAGUGUCAUGGAGAGGGCGGAGAGCAGAGCAGAGGUUCAGAGCCAUUUGGGACCACCUGAAGUGCUCAGUUACUUAGGGCUUAUUCACUUGGGCACUACUGGAGAUUGGAGCAACAAAUGAUGAGCCCUGCCAUGAUAAAACUGGCAUAACCAACACACGUGACCAAAGCUGAGAACACUUGACAGUGUGAGCACUGAACUACGUGAGAAAGGAGAGAAAAUUGGAUAAAUAAAAAGU